CCUACGGGCGGCAGCAGUGAGGAAUAUUGGUCAAUGGCCGCAGGGCUGAACCAGCCAAGUCGCGUGAGGGAUGACGGUCCUAUGGAUUGUAAACCUCUUUUGUCAGGGAGCAAAGGGCGCCACGUGUGGCGCUUUGCGAGUACCUGAAGAAAAAGCAUCGGCUAACUCCGUGCCAGCAGCCGCGGUCAUACGGAGGAUGCGAGCGUUAUCCGGAUUUAUUGGGUUUAAGGGGUACGCAGGCGGAAUGUCAAGUCAGCGGUAAAAUUUCGGGGCUCAACCCCGUCGUGCCGUUGAGACUGGCGUUCUUGAGUGAGCGAGAAGUAUGCGGAAUGCGUGGUGUAGCGGUGAAAUGCAUAGAUAUCACGCAGAACUCCGAUUGCGAAGGCAGCAUACCGGCGCUCAACUGACGCUCAUGCACGAAAGCGUGGGUAUCGAACAGGAUUAGAUACCCUGGUAGUC
rnacentral:rRNA from 1 species